rnacentral:rRNA from 1 species
GGAUAACCUACCCUUAGGACCGGGAUAACCCUGGGAAACUGGGGAUAAUACCGGAUAGGCAAUUUUUCCUGUAAUGGUUUUUUGUUUAAAUGUUUUUUCGCCUAAGGAUGGGUCUGCGGCCGAUUAGGUAGUUGGUUAGGUAAUGGCUUACCAAGCCGUUGAUCGGUACGGGUCGUGAGAGCAAGAGCCCGGAGAUGGAACCUGAGACAAGGUUCCAGGCCCUACGGGGUGCAGCAGGCGCGAAACCUCCGCAAUGUGAGAAAUCGCGACGGGGGGAUCCCAAGUGCCAUUCUUAACGGGAUGGCUUUUCAUUAGUGUAAAGAGCUUUUGGAAUAAGGGCUGGGCAAGACCGGUGCCAGCCGCCGCGGUAACACCGGCAGCUCUAGUGGUAGCAGUUUUUAUUGGGCCUAAAGCGUCCGUAGCCGGUUUAAUAAGUCUCUGGUGAAAUCCUGUAGCUUAACUGUGGGAAUUGCUGGAGAUACUAUUAGACUUGAGACCGGGAGAGGUUAGAGGUACUCCCAGGGUAGAGGUGAAAUUCUGUAAUCCUGGGAGGACCGCCUGUUGCGAAGGCGUCUAACUGGAACGGUUCUGACGGUGAGGGACGAAAGUUAGGGGCGCGAACCGGAUUAGAUACCCGGGUAGUCCUAACUGUAAACGAUGCGGACUUGGUGUUGGGGUGGCUUUGAGCUGCUCCAGU